rnacentral:lncRNA from 1 species
AUGGCUCAUCACCACCUAUGGAUCUUGCUCUUUUGCCUACAAACCUGUCGUCUUGGGAAGCCAAAAAUUACUCAGAGUUUCGUGACAUCUGUGAACAGCACCUGUAAUGCCACACUGAUGUGCUCUGUGGAUAAAGAAGAAAAGAAUGUGACAUACAGUUGGAGUCCACGAGGGGAAGCGGGCAAUGUUCUUCAAAUCUUCCAGACCCCUGACAACCAAGAGGAGACUUACACAUGUACAGCAUGGAAUCCUGUCAGCAACAAUUCUGACUCCAUCUCUGCCCAGCAGCUCUGUACAGACAUCACAAUGAGCCCCCAUAUUCACCGCACUGGACUGAUGAGUGGGCUGGCUGUGCUUUCUCUGCUUAUAAUAAUUCUUUCAGUGGUUUUGUUCCUUUUGUGCAAGAAAGAAGAUGCUUCCUCAAAGAAAACAAUAUACACAUACAUCACAGUUUCAAGAAAAACCCAGGCAGCAGAGUCCAGGAUCUAUGAUGAGAUCCCCCAGUCCAAGGUGCUCCCCACCAAGGAGGAGCCAGUGAACACAAUUUACUCCAUGAUGCAGUACUCUGAUAAGAUGGAGAAAACCAGCACUCAGAACAGCAAACCGCUUGGGACUUCAUGCUAUGAAAUUGUGAUCUAGGUUUCCAGAUGGAAUUCUCCCCACAGAAACUGAGCUGCAACCACACAUACUGGCAGAUGAUCCAGACCUAGACUUGCUCUGCCCAGAUCUUACCCAGAGAUUACAGAUCACCAGAUUCCAAAUGUAAGCAAAGAAGGAGACACUCUGUUGCUGGGCAUAACUUGUACUGAAAUAGACAAAUGCAUCAUGCCCUUUCUAAGAUGCCUCACUUCCUAACAAAUAGCAAGGCAGAUCCCUUGGCACAGUGCUUCUCAUCCUUCUUCACACUGCAACACAUGGAGAAAAUAAUUUUUAUGAUAAAAUGGAAUAAACAAUCAAGAUUG